rnacentral:lncRNA from 1 species
AUGAAGAAACAGAGACAAGUCAUUUGGCUGAAAAGAUGUGAAAGUGGGCUGAGCAUCCAGACAGUGUGGCUCUGGAGUCCAUGAGCCACAUCCCUCUACAUCGCUGCUAUAAAGGAUAAUUCUCCAGAAAAAAAAUAAAUAUUAUUUGGGACCAGAAGACAACUCAAAGAAAUAUUGUUUCGGCUAUAUCAGACAGUAAAGAUUUUGACUAUGAAAUUUUAUGCUUCUUUGUCUCUGGAUGUUAUCUCAGAAAAAUACAGUCUCACUUUGUUGCCCAGGUUGAAGUGCAGUGGAACAAUCUCAGCUCAUGCAGCCUCCACCUCCCAGGUUCAAGCCGUUCUCCUGCCUCAGCCUCCUGAGUGUAGCUGGGACUAUAGGCACUCACCACCAGGCCCAGGAGGCUGAGGCAGAAGAAUUGCCUGAACCAGGAGGCAGAGGUUGUGGUGAGCCGAGAUCACGCCAUUGCACUCCAGCCUGCAUAACAAGAGCGAAACUCCGUCUCAAAAAAAUAAAAAGAAGUUAUUGA